UAGCUGGUCUGAGAGGAUGGCCAGCCACACUGGAACUGAGACACGGUCCAGACUCCUACGGGAGGCAGCAGUGGGGAAUAUUGGACAAUGGGGGCAACCCUGAUCCAGCAAUGCCGCGUGUGUGAAGAAGGCCUGAGGGUUGUAAAGCACUUUCAGUGGGGAGGAGGAUUGAUWGGUUAAGAGCUGAUUAAUUGGACGUUACCCACAGAAGAAGCACCGGCUAACUCCGUGCCAGCAGCCGCGGUAAUACGGAGGGUGCGAGCGUUAAUCGGAAUUACUGGGCGUAAAGGGUGCGUAGGUGGUUUAUUAAGUUAUCUGUGAAAUCCCUGGGCUUAACCUGGGCAGGUCAGAUAAGACUGUUUGACUCGAGUAUGG
rnacentral:rRNA from 1 species